AACAUUUUGAAAACUGGGGCUGCUGGCGGUGACAGAAUCCUUACUGAUGCACAGCGAAAGGGAAACUGCACUUAGUGCUGGAUGACAUGACACCAGUUUGUGUAGGUUGCUAAGGUGAGAGAGCUCUGAAGGUCCUGCCAACUCUACGUCCCCCAUCCAUCUACAAGAGAGGAGGAAAAGCCUUCAGACCCACCCACUGAGGAGUCCCACAGGUCAUUUAUUGACAUGCAGCCUGUGGAGACCAACAUGGUUGAGUGUUUACAAAACGUUCCUGCACAUUUUGUGCCUUAGGGAUGAGAUGAGGAUGUGCCAGCCC